GUAGUCUACAGGUCAGGUCAGUGGUAGUUCAGUAGGCUACAGGCCAGGUCAGGUCAGUGGUAGUUCAGUAGGCUACAGGCCAGGUCAGUGGUAGUUCAGUAGGCUACAGGCCAGGUCAGGUCAGUGGUAGUUCAGUAGGCUACAGGCCAGGCCAGUGGUAGUUCAGUAGGCUACAGGCCAGGCCAGUGGUAGUUCAGUAGGCUACAGGCCAGGUCAGUGGUAGUUCAGUAGGCUACAGGCCAGGUCCGGUCAGUGGUAGUUCAGUAGGCUGCAGGCCAGGCCAGUGGUAGUUCAGUAGGCUACAGGCCAGGUCAGGUCAGUGGUAGUUCAGUAGGCUACAGGCCAGGUCAGUGGUAGUUCAGUAGGCUACAGGCCAGGUCCGGUCAGUGGUAGUUCAGUAGGCUGCAGGCCAGGCCAGUGGUAGUUCAGUAGGCUACAGGCCAGGUCAGGUCAGUGGUAGUUCAGUAGGCUACAGGCAAGGUCAGGUCAGUGGUAGUUCAGUAGGCUACAGGCCAGGCCAGUGGUAGUUCAGUAGGCUACAGGCCAGGCCAGUGGUAGUUCAGUAGGCUACAGGCCAGGCCAGUGGUAGUUCAGUAGGCUACAGGCCAGGUCAGUGGUAG
rnacentral:lncRNA from 1 species